CCAGGACUUGAGGAACAAGAGACACACACACACAUAACACAUCAAACAAGACCAUGAAAAUAUGCCUGCAUUUGAUAGGAAUGUUCAGAACAGCAUCAUUAACAGUCAAAAAGUAGGAACAAUUCACAUACCCAGUUGACGAAUGAAUUCAACAAAAUGGGGUAAAUUCACAUAAUGGGAUAUUACUCAGCUACAAACAGCAAUGAAGUACUGAUACGCGCAGUAAUAUAAAGCUUGAAAAGAUGCUAUGUGUAUGUAGACGACUACACCUGCAGGGACGGCUCUUGUGUACAUGAGCUGUGCAGAACAAGGAAAUCCACGGAACAGAAAGGAGAAGUGACUGUUAAGGGUCCAAGGAGAGGUGUAGAAGAUAAAAACCCACAGGACAUCACAAGUACCAUUUAGCACUGCAAAGUUAUAAUCACAAACGUGAGCUCUUGAACAAAACAAUGAAGAACAAUGAAAAAGGUCAUUUUAAACUUCACAACAAAGUGGCCACUUUGGGUACUCCAGGAGGGAACAC